rnacentral:rRNA from 1 species
AUUGAACGCUGGCGGUAGGCUUAACACAUGCAAGUCGAGCGGGGUGAUGGUGCUCGCACUAUCACUUAGCGGCGGACGGGUGAGUAAUGCUUAGGAAUCUGCCUAUUAGUGGGGGACAACAUCUCGAAAGGGAUGCUAAUACCGCAUACGUCCUACGGGAGAAAGCAGGGGAUCACUUGUGACCUUGCGCUAAUAGAUGAGCCUAAGUCGGAUUAGCUAGUUGGUGGGGUAAAGGCCUACCAAGGCGACGAUAUGUAGCGGGUCUGAGAGGAUGAUCCGCCACACUGGGACUGAGACACGGCCCAGACUCCUACGGGAGGCAGCAGUGGGGAAUAUUGGACAAUGGGGGGAACCCUGAUCCAGCCAUGCCGCGUGUGUGAAGAAGGCCUUAUGGUUGUAAAGCACUUUAAGCGAGGAGGAGGCUCUUUUGGUUAAUGCCCAAGAUGAGUGGACGUUACUCGCAGAAUAAGCACCGGCUAACUCUGUGCCAGCCGCCGCCGUAA